GUGGGCACGGUUGCUCCUUCUGGAGUGCAACGAUGAAUAAUCCUCUGUGCUUCAUUCUACAGGGGACACUACCUUCUGCAUGGAAAAUUGCCACCAUAAUCCCCGUCCUGAAACCCGGAAAGGAAGCCUCUUGUCCUGCCAGUUAUCGUCCCAUCGCGCUGACAAGCUGCAUAGGAAAAACGUUCGAGCGAAUGAAAUCAAUGACCGGUUCGUGCCUUUGUUGGAAGCCUCCACGGAUCUUGACGGGCACAAAUGUGCAACACCAGUGCCUUACAAAGUAAAGCUCCCUGAUUGGAUUCCACUCAUGACCGAAGGCGGUCAGGGCU